CACUUCUCAAUGAGCUCCUUCCUGCCAACAGUCUGUGGCAGCCUAUGGAUUCGCACGAGAAGGAUAUUAACUGUUCAGUAGUGGCAAGCUCACGAUGGGGCUCCAUCCCCUGUGAGAAAGCACUGCUGUUCUACACUU